rnacentral:tRNA from 1 species
GGAAUUGUAGUUCAUGAACACCUGAAGUGCCAUAGGUUCGCCACCAUGGGCUUAGAGCAUCUGCUUGACAUGCAGAAGGUCCCAGGUUCAACCCCUGUCGUCUACA